AUUCGGACGCUGCCCAAUGUUUCUUUGUAACUCUAUUGGAUGUUGAAAGCGAAGUCGUGCGUGUUCCAUGCACCAUUCUGAUAGAAAUAGCAAACCACGACUCCUCGUUCCUUUGGCACCGACUACUCAAUACGUCGUCAUAUAAAACAUCCCAAGACGCCCCACUUACGAGCCUAUUAACAACUCAUAGAAAGAUUUGGAAAAAAACGCCAACUAAGUACUUAUCAACAAUGUCGAUGCACAAAUUAAGACAAAAAAACGUCCAAUGAAUAUUAAACAUGCCUGUGUUUGAAAUUGUCUUGGUUCAUCAGCAGCGUCAGUUGGUUGUUGUCUCCCUCUCCCCAUUGGAAAACUACGCUCCCACUCAUUGUUUUGAAAGAAUAUAAGUUUUGCUAUUUCUAUCUCUUGCUUUGUGUUGUUCUAUUGUAGUGAUUUUGUGCUCUGCCCCCUCUCUGUUUUUAUAGCCGAGAGAUGAUUCAACUGUGCUCUGCUUUUUCCUUUACUUGUCAACUUCUUCCAACGCUUGUAUGUAAAACGAAAAGAUUGGCUUCUACGUAGCAUAAACUUGCCAUACUAAGUAAAAUGGAAGAAACAGAGAGUUUCAACAUUCUCUAAAUUGUUCCACUUUGCUCUAUAGCUUUUUCUGAUUGAGUAAGGAGGACUCAAGUCUAUGU